rnacentral:rRNA from 1 species
GUAGUCCACGCCCUAAACGAUGCGAACUGGAUGUUGGGUGCAAUUUGGCACGCAGUAUCGAAGCUAACGCGUUAAGUUCGCCGCCUGGGGAGUACGGUCGCAAGACUGAAACUCAAAGGAAUUGACGGGGGCCCGCACAAGCGGUGGAGUAUGUGGUUUAAUUCGAUGCAACGCGAAGAACCUUACCUGGUCUUGACAUGUCGAGAACUUUCCAGAGAUGGAUUGGUGCCUUCGGGAACUCGAACACAGGUGCUGCAUGGCUGUCGUCAGCUCGUGUCGUGAGAUGUUGGGUUAAGUCCCGCAACGAGCGCAACCCUUGUCCUUAGUUGCCAGCACGUAAUGGUGGGAACUCUAAGGAGACCGCCGGUGACAAACCGGAGGAAGGUGGGGAUGACGU